rnacentral:lncRNA from 1 species
GAGAAAUGAACCAGAGGUGUGCUUAUUGACAAGUGGCUCUUCUAGCUCCAAAGUGAAGGAGCCUUCACAGCCUGGACCCCACGCUCUUGCGAUUAGGUAACCAAGAGGCCAACAGAUAAAGGACUGCCGCAGCAGCAACAAAG